rnacentral:tRNA from 1 species
AACCCCUGGUCAGAGGUUUGCCGAUAUCUGCUUUGCAAGCAGGGGGUCGUCGGUUCGAGUCCGAUCGUCUCCA